AAAGUAUCUGUGUGGCUCUGAGAUCUGGGUUUCAGUUGGAUUCUAUCAGCCUUCUGAGUUAAUUUAUUUUUAAUCUUUAACAAGGAGAAGAAGAAAAGAAACAAAAGCCUUUGUUUUUAUAAAUUGAUGGUGCCGCGCUGGUCGGACUGGUUCCAAGUGGAUCUGUUUACAGGUGCAGUUCUAGUCAUUAUACAUUGUGUACUUCAGCAGAAGAGAUCAUUUGCUGGGAACCUGAAAAGGGACUUUCUCAAAGCCAUGAGUGGACGUGGACCAGGAAAGAAGAUCGCUGGAUUGUUCAGCUGUGUCUUGCUCGCUCUAGCUUUCAUUUCAUUGUAUUCAAGACAUUUAACUGGCA